rnacentral:rRNA from 1 species
UACGGGGGGGGUAAGCGUUGUUCGGAAUUACUGGGCGUAAAGGGCUCGUAGGCGGCCAACUAAGUCGGACGUGAAAUCCCUCAGCUUAACUGGGGAACUGCGUCCGAUACUGGAUGGCUUGGAUUUGGGAGAGGGAUGCGGAAUUCCAGGUGUAGCGGUGAAAUGCGUAGAUAUCUGGAAGAACACCGGUGGCGAAGGCGGCGACCUGGUCCGUGACUGACGCUGAGGCGCGAAAGCGUGGGGAGCAAACAGG